GUUCUUUUUCCUCUUUCCCUUUCUCACAGUUGCUUUUGCUCACCUCUCUUUACUUUUCCUAGUCUGACUCCUCUCUUUUAAAUCUUUUUUUUCUCUCCCUCUCUCAGUCUCUCUUCCUUCUCCCUGGUCUCUGUUCUGUGUCCUGAGCUAAAACGACCUAAAGUUGUAGACACUUAGAAUGCUGUGCAGGGGGUGUGUGUCCGCGUCAGUGUCUGUGUGUCCGUCCCCGCCCUUCCACCCCCUCCCUCACCCUUCCCCAAAUCUCGAGUCUGACGUUGCGCCCUCUUAUUCGACUUUUCCUCGCGUCUCCUCCUGGAGUCUCCAAUCACCCGGGAGCCUUCUGGGCGAGGCGGCCUUCCCUCGCGAAUACAGAGCGCCGGGAGGGGCGGGGCGGGCCGGGCCCGCAGUCUUUUCCCGCCCCCCUCCUGCCGGCACAGGGAGGGGAGAGCCCAGACCAGGAGUGGAGGGUUAGUACAGGGUCACCUCUCCCCUCGGGUCUUCCAACUCCUCGCUUUUCAGCCCCCACAGCAGCUGUAGUUCCGGGGUGGGACGGGACCCCGGCUCCAGGCUGGCACCCGGGUUUUUCUGUGCGAUGCUGUUUCCCUUUGCAGUUCUCAGCUCUGGUCCCUAGGACGCUUCCAAUAGCCUAAGCGGGCAGCAAAAAGGGCAGCUAAAAGAGUUGAGCGUGCAGCCUGGGAGUAGGGAGAGCUGCCCCUCUGAUCUUUUAAAAGACCGAAUCUGUGUCGGGGAAACCCUACAGUUCACCACGUUAACACCUCCGGGGUACCUCGGUGAGAAUUCUCAUUAGAAACAGCCACACGGACUUGCAGAUGCGUGGCCUGGCGUAGCACCGGCAGGAAUUCACAUUUGACUGUGAAUCUGGCCUCGGAGCAUCCCAGGAGGCACCGGCUGGGCGCCGCCACGUCUGCCGUGCAACUCUGGCUGAGCCCUGUGAGCUGUCAGGGCCUCGGAGGCUGUCCCUGAGUCCAGAGACGCCACGGGAAACUGGGAAACUUUGAGGUAAACUUUGCAAACUUCUCUGCCGGCGCUAGAAGACCGCCGGUUGGAAAGGUAGCAGCAUUAGCUGCGUGGGCCCCAGGCCUGAUUUGUGCACCGCGGAGCGGACCAGGACGCCCCAGAAGGAGCGCGAGUCUUCUCCAGCCCGCCCUCCGCGCUCCGGAACCUCCCGGACCAUGCCCUCUGCCACCGGCUUUCGAGUGGCCAGAUCUGCGCUGCGGCUCCCGGAAUCCCAGCAUGGAUGGAAAACCGUGGCCCUGAGCGCGAGUGGUUCUAUUUCUCUUUUCUUAUGCAGCAUCACCCCGUUUCCACCUGCGACGAGUAUUUCCGCUGAACGCCUUGUUUGUUUCAGUCCUAUCUAUUCCUCACAUUUUCUGCAUAUUUGGUUUCCGGAGCCUUUAUUUUUCUCUUUUUUGACUCCUAAUGUGUUCUUUGGUGUGUGUGUGGGGUCUUUUUAAAAUUUCAGGUUUUUUUCAACCCCCUGUUUUCAUCUUCUCCCCUCUCCCUUUCUCGGUUUCCUCUUCUUUUUCUCCCUCUCUUUCUUUCGUCCCCAUCCAUCCUAUUUCAAUCUUGGUCUAUCCCAAGCUCUCUUCUGCUGGUUUACUCUGUCUUCCUUUCCUUUACAGAGUCUGUCCCCUCCCCCGCCCGUGGAUCUGCUUCCCAGGCAUCCCUUUCUCAUCCAUCUUGGGAGAUGAAUAUGUCGCCUUAUUGGAUGCGGAGGCCAGAGCAGGGCGAUGGGGCUCGGCCAACGUCGCACAUUUUCUUCAUGCAUAUUGAGAAUAUGGUUUCCAGGCAGCACUGCAUCUAAUUCUCACCUUCCCUCACCGGGCAGAGACUGUCCAGAGGCCACACGUGGUUGUGUAGGAUGUUUACUGAACACACUUUCAAGAGGAUAAGAAGUGUCUACACCUGUAGCUUGGGGAGCACUCACUGGCUUAUGCAACCAAGAUGGCAGCUCAUGACAACCAUCUCUGGAUGCUGAGAAGGAACACACAUUUCCACUGAAACGGAUGUGACAAGACUGGUUUCUGAGUCUUCAGAUCCCCUGAAGUAUAUCUGACUGUCAGGCACCUGAAAUCCCUCCCUUUCUCACACAGCCAGACCUACAAUAAUCAGGAGAGGUGAGUGCAGAAGCCAGAGUGGGGGAGAUGAGAGGCCAGGCAGACUCCACGGCAUCAAUCACCAGUCUUCAGGCUGGGGAAGCGCCACCUCAGGCCAGUGUUGCAUACUCCAGUGGGAUGUCUGCAUGUGCUGGAAGACUUGGCUGCCAGAAUGGUCACUGUAGCACUGCCUGUGAAGCGGAAGACCUUCGACACCAGGACUUCCUAAUAGGACAAUGGAUAAAUAGAUUGUGGUAGAAUGACAUAAUGAGACAGAAAGCAGAAUGAACAAAUAGUGCUCCAACGCUGACAGCACGGAGAAUCUGGAAAAGCAAGAUGGAGAAAGUUAAGUGCAUUAAGAUUGCUAUCUGCCAAAAAAUACCAGCUGCUGAUGGUGAAAUAACCCCGAAGAAUUUCCUUGGGACAGUUUCUCACCCCCACGAACAUCAUGAAGAAGUUUCUCUGUGUGUGAGGGACAUCCUGCCUUCUGCCAUCCCCGAGGCACCCCUUACUGACCUGGUCACAUUCUUUGGACAUCACUUGCUUGACCACAUUACUUGGCUUCCAGGCCACCUGCUCUGGGAGUGAGCUGGAGACACUGUGAUCUUGGCCUAAGUGGGGAUGCACACCCAGGGAGGUGAGGUGGGGCCAGUUCGGACUUAAGUCCAACCAUUUAGUGAGAUGCACAGCUCAGGUCUUGUACAGGCAAUGGGUGGGUAGAGACAAGAAGACUUCCCUGCCCAUGGGUUUACCUUAAGAAGUACAACAAGCCCCCAGCCUUAGAAGAGCUUCCUAAGGUGGCAGUGGGCCUGGUGGCAGCCAUAUUGGUUUUGUGGUGGGACCAGAAAAGAGGUCUCCUCACACAGUCCACAACUCCAUGCCCCCUUUUUCAGCCCCAUGGUGAACACAGUCAUUUCACAAGGAGUGACACAGUGUCAAUUUAUUGAGCAUUCUCUGUGUGUUAGGAAUGACCUUCAGCACUCUGCACGUUAUUUCCCCAGUCCUGUGAGGUGGAUGGCCGCUGUAUGUUCUCUGUAGUGAGAUGGGUAAACCAGGCGAGAGGAGUAUGCCAUUUGCCCCAGAUCACCCAACAAGACGAGCUGCUUGUCAUUCAGUCUCUGGUAACAACUGCCUUGUGUUUUCCUCUCCUGCAUCUCCAGUUUGUACUCCAGGUUAUUUCCUCACUAAAUCCUACGGCCUCUGCUGCUGUCCUAGAACUGUCACCUUUAAAGAUUUCAAAAUAUUAUUGUUUCCUUGACCUGCUGGAGGGGAGGCCCCAGGACACAAGGAUUUGGGAACUCAAAUUUGUAACUCAGUAUGGGCAUGGGGUGUGUGCUUGAAAAAUUGAGCGACUCAGCCCAGGUAGUGGUGUCCCAUGCCUUUAAUCCCAGCACUAGAGAGGCAGAGACAGGCAGAUCUCUGUGAGUUCAAGGUCAGCCUGGUCUACAGAGGGAGUUCUAGUACAGUCUGGGCUACACAGAGAAACUCUGUCUCAAAAAUAAAUAAAUAAAUAAAUAAAUAAAUAAAUAAAUAAAUGGAAAGGAAAGAAAAAAUAAAUGAGUCAGAAUUGUAACAUCAAACUUCAUCUCUGGAAACCUUUUCAAAUAAGGGACUGAGUUAAGGUUUCCUAACAUCCCCGGAAAUUUGCAAAUACAUUCUUCUUUCUUGGUGUCUCUUCCUUUUGGUGUCUUUCUGGAAUAUGGAUGAGUUUCUUCUUUGUGAGCUGUUGGUAUUUUCUUGAGAUGGAACUUGCUUACCUGGCCCCAGCUGGCCUUGCAGUCUCCAGCUCCCUGCCACACUAUCCCCUGUUUGUGGUCUUGAUCUUUACUCCUGUUUGUGAAUGAGUGUGUCUGGCAGACAGAGAGCUUGUCUUUUGCAUGAUGUCCCUUGAUCACAGGGCCAUUUUCAAGGCCAAAGUCUCACAGGAACUCCGGGUGGGUCAAAAAGGACUCUGCCCUCUGGCCCCCAUCCUGGCUCUUUCCCUGCUUGCUAGAGAGCCCAGCAGGCACAGACUGCCGGUAGGCAUCCUUGUUGAAUGUUCUGUGGUGUUGUGGGAGCAUGGUCAGGUCCAAGGGUGACAACUGUUUCUUUCACCUGGAGCUGGAAAGCUUCUAGAAUGUGCUGUGUCUUUCUCAUAUUUUUCUGAGUCUUAUUUGAGGACAAAAGCUUUGGGCUUGAGACCUCUACAGAUCCCUGGUGUUUUACUUGCUUGUUUGUUUGGUUUUGAACAAACCACACCUUAGAUUCAGAAACAAUCCAGGUCAAUACAGUGCUCAGGUCUCUUAGUACUGGCUUCCUUGGAUCUGAGGAGUCAUGAGACUAGCCCUUCCGCCCAGGUGUCUCCAAAAGGCUUUCGUAGCCCUGUGAGGGCAGUGAGAUAGUCAUGCAGGCCUUAGAAUUGAGGAAUGAGGGGCAGGUAGUCUUUGUAAAGACAUGUGUGGAAGUGCUGUGGAGAACGGCCCUCCAUCUUAAGUGCUCAGGAACUGGUGUGCGGAAUAAAAAGACUUAUGUAACAGGCUGGGGAAAUGCUACUAAACACACUAGGGAGGGUUGGGUACUGCUCAGUGAUGGAGUGGGUGUGUAGUAUGUGCAAAGGCCUGGGUUCCAUCCCUAGCUAAAUGGUUUUCUAGAAAAGUAGCCUGCCUGAGGAGUCCCCAGUAUGUCCAUCCAAACUAUUGUGCCUGAAGGAAAAUUCCAGCUAUUCAUUUCAUUCACUCCAGUGUGGUCACUAGAAUAAUCUUUAAAUGGAGAAUAAUUGCCCAUGCUGACCCCUUAGGGACUCUUCUCAUGCAGGUAUGAUGACUUUGAUGGGGACAGGGGUCAUGACAAAAAAAAAUCACCUUCAGUGGCCCCAGUGGAUGCUCUGGACUCUUCUCCCCCCGGGGACCAUACAAUCAGGCAAAGCCAGUGACAGGGUGCCACUGCAGUCUCCACUCCAAUGUCCUUCUCAAGGACAUGCCAAGUGUCCAGCAUGGCUCUCUUGUCAAGCGGUGAACUCAGAGGGGCGGAAAGCACAGGGAAGGCUUUGGCUGUCAGCAGAAGCCCUGGUGAUGCCUCCACUCUGGCUGUCAGGCCUUGCAGGAGGCUGUGGGCGCUUCAGCAGGCAGUGGCAGACUUCCUGGAGCAUUAGCUGUCUGGGCUGUCAGGGGAGGAAGAAGCAUCUGGGUGCUGCCUUUUCCCAGCAAAAUAUUCCUUUCUUAUGGCAGUCAGAGCCAGGGAGAGAUUACAGUUUGUGGUGGUAUCUUGAGAUAUGCUCCAUGUGCCACAAACAUGGCCCUUAAGUGUGUAUGUGUGUGCAGCACAGUGCAUAUGUGGAGAUCAGACACCUUCUGGGAGCCAGUUCUCUUCAUCAUGAGUUCCUGGAGAUCUAACUCAGGUCAGCAGACUUGGUGGCAAUGCCUUUAUCCACUGAACCAUCUCACUGUCCUGCAAACAUUUUUUUCUUUGAAGAGUAAGUGGUGUUGAGUAAAUCUAUGAGAUAGUGUGAGCGUCACCACUGUCUAAACCCAUCCCCCACAAAAUAAUUUUCAACACCCCAGAAAGAAGCCCUAUAUCUCUCAGUGGUCUGUUCCCUCUAGUCCCUCAGCCUCUGUCUGUCACUGACCUCCUUUCUGGCUCUCUAGCUGGACAAGCAAGUAGACCCAUAAUCUGAAGUCUUUGGUGACUGCAUCUACAUGGAUGACAUUCUUAGCUGGCCUAUCUAUGGCAUGCAGGGUGUUUCCUUGUUCUCCAUGGGUGACUAACAUCUCUUUGUGGAGAGUAUGCACCUGUGUCUUCAGUCACCAGAAGUUAGACACCUGUGUUGCUUCAACUUUUUGACUUAUGAACACUGUUGCUGUUAGCAUUUGUGUGAAUAUUUUUCUGGGGCAUAUUUUCAGCUCUUUGGUAUGUCUCUGGAAGAGGAAUUGCUGGACCAUAUGGCAACUCUGUUUAAACUCAGAGUGACUCCCAGCCUGUUGCAGAGCAGCUGUGCCAUUUUGCAUUCUCCCUGGCAGUGUAUGAGGGGGCCAUUUCUCUGCACUCUCUCCAACAUUUGUCAUUACUUAGCAGCCAGCCUAGGCAGAGUGACGUGGAGAGCCCAAGACACACAGAAGCAAUCCUCAGGUAGGAUGCUCUUGAGUAAUGACGAAGGGCAAGCUGCGGGGACGUUCUAGGUACUGUCCCUAGGAAGCUUAGCUAUGUGUCCCAUUGGGUACCAGUUAGGGAAGCUCUUCAGGGUCCUCAAGUGACUAGCUGCUGGCCUGUAGCCCCAGAAUCCAGUGUCAAGUUGACAUCAGUAGACACUCAUAACUGAGUGUUGAAUGGGUGAUUGACAGAAUCAGUCCCUGCUGACCCAGGGAGGAUGGAUGGGUUAGGAGUCAGACCACCACUAUGUGUUAUCCAGAAGAAUGAUGGUUCCCUUGGGCCAGGAUCUUGAGUCUCUCUUUGUGGAAAGGUGUGAGGAUUCUUUUU